GACGAAGGGGGCUAGCGUUGUUCGGAAUUACUGGGCGUAAAGGGCUCGUAGGCGGCCAACUAAGUCGGAUGUGAAAUCCCCAAGCUUAACUUGGGAACUGCAUCCGAUACUGGAUGGCUUGAAUCCGGGAGAGGGAUGCAGAAUUCCAGGUGUGGCGGUGAAAUGCGUAGAUAUCUGGAGGAAUACCAGUGGCGAAGGCGGGUCUCUGGACAGUUCCUGACGCUGAGGCACGAAGGUCAGGGGAGCAAACGGG
rnacentral:rRNA from 1 species